ACAGAUCGCCGUCGGGAGCGUACGGAGAGGGAGGCUAAGAGGCCUCGAGGUUCAGGUAAUUUCAGCGGUGCUCCGUCUAGGGGCCAGUUCCAGCAUGGUAGAGGUCGUUCCUUCAGGCCUCCUCAGUCAGGACGCACAGAGUCCUGGGAAGCCUCUACAGGCCGGGGCCAUCAGCAGAGUCAUCCUGCACUGAGUUCUCUUCCAGCUCAAAGCUCUGCUCCUGCUCUUUCAGCUCAAGGUUUGUCUGCAGUGAGGGGUUCUCAUCAGUCCCCUUCUCCAGCUUCAGUUCGUUGCUAUGAGUUCGGUG
rnacentral:lncRNA from 1 species